rnacentral:rRNA from 1 species
UACAGAGGUCUCAAGCGUUGUUCGGAUUCAUUGGGCGUAAAGGGUGCGUAGGCGGCGCGGUAAGUCGGAUGUGAAAUCUCGGAGCUUAACUUCGAAACUGCAUUCGAUACUGCCGUGCUUGAGGACUGGAGAGGAGACUGGAAUUUACGGUGUAGCGGUGAAAUGCGUAGAUAUCGUAAGGAAGACCAGUGGCGAAGGCGGGUCUCUGGGCCUUACCUGACGCUCAGGUGCGAAAGCGUGGGGAGCAAACAGG